CUAUUUCUCCUUUUGUUUUUUGUACUGGG
rnacentral:antisense_RNA from 1 species